ensembl:lncRNA
UGAACCAUCUUUAUUUAUUUAUUUUACAGGUUACUGCUGUUCCAUUUAAGGAGUUAAGGCUUGACUUCUCCCAAGGGUGUUUGCAUUCUCCAGGGAACUUUUGAACACCGAAAACCGUUAUUUGCCAACAGAGUCUUCGAUGAACGUGACAAUGUCUGAUUGUGGCCAGAUUGAGCAGCAUACAAGAAAAACCUCACGACCUGAAUGAACGAAUUUAUCAGAGGGAAAAUGAAUUCCUGGACCCCACAUCGACCCUGUGAGACAGAGUCUCCAAAGAGAGUCAGGCUCUCCAUUGGCUUCCAUGCACCUUGCAAUGGCACAGUGCACACUGACAACUACUGCAGAGAGUCCAUGGCAGGCUUGCUGGGAAACUGGCCUUCCCGUCUUCUACUUGAAUGCUUUCAAGGGUGAGAUGACCAUUGCCUAACAGGGCCAGCCCUUUUCAUUUUGGGUCAGGUCCCACUGAUUGGACUUUUUUCUUUUCUCCCAUAAUGAACUGAAAUCUGUUUCCUCAUGUCCCUCUUAAGUGGUACUACGGUAUUCACUUGUCUGGAGACAGCUGUCCUGGUGAGCUUGUGUUGUCUUCGCCUUGUGUUAACAUUUUCCAAAACAUGGAGAUCGACUCUGUAAGAGAAUGCCACAGGAAGAGGCGACUGAGGAGUGUGGCCAUGUGAGUGACCAUCUACAUUGAGGGUGAAAGGGGACUCCUGCUGGAUGGUGCCCUGGACCACCAGGCAAGUUCAGCCGCCUGUUCUCAGUAUAGAACAUACAGGUGGACAUUUGCUUGUGUGCCUAGCUUUUUCCGUGCUUCUUCCAGCUGCAUGUGCAUGCUAAGAAAAACCAUCACAUUGAAGAGUUCCAUAAUCAAAGAAAGAGAAAUUAGUCAAUAGCAAUCUUUUUUUAAAGAUUUAUUUAUUUGAAAGACAAAGUUACAGAGAGGCAGAGGCAGAGAGAGACAGAGAGAUCGUCCAUCCGCUGGUUCACUCCCCAAAUGGCCUCCAGCAGCUAGAGCUGGGCUGAUCCGAAGCCAGAAGCCAGGAGCCAGAAGCUUCUUCCGGGUCUUCCAUGUGGGUGCAGGGAUCCAAGCACUUGGACCAUCUUCUACUGCUUUCCCAGGCCAUAGCAGAGAGCUGGAUCAGAAGUGGAGCAGCCGGGUCUCGAACCAGUGUCCAUAUAGGAUGCUGACAGUGCAGGCAGCGGCUUUACCUGCUAUGCCACAGUGCUGGCCCCAAGUAGCAAUCUUUGAACAUUAAGUAAAUUCAGUUGCCCUUCUUGGUGGCUCUUCAAGCGGUUAUUAGUUUCUAAGCCACCACCACUUUAAAGAACAUUUCUAUUAUUAUCAUCAUUUUUAGGUUUGUGUGCAAAACUUUUUAUUUAAAGGUCAAGGAAUAUUUUUCCAUGUUCUUUCUAAUGACAUAUGAGCAUUAGCCACAAACUCAGGCUUCUGUAACACAGGCCCCAUUGUCAGUGAUAGUAAGCACAGGGCAGAGAACUCUGGGAAGUAAACCACAUGUUUAUGGGACUUUCAGCUUUAUGAGAAUAUUGGCAGUUCUGGAGGUUCUUUGUGAGACUAUGGGACACAAAGUAAGGAUUAUUUAUGAAAAGUCUCCACAAAAUGUGGGCCUUUGAAGCAUAGUGGAGAAUUGAGACAAACCCACAUACACUCCCACCUCCAAAUAUUUUAACCAUUCUUUUUGGGGUGCAAGUGGCUUUGAACUCUGUCUCAUUUGCUUUGUCAGGAAUCCACCUCUUUUCCAUUAUAUAGAUCGAGCUAAGUUCUGAGUGGAAAUAAGUUUAGACAAGAAGCCUAGCUCCCACGGGGACAUUGACAUCACUGCCUGAUUGUUUCCAUUCUGAAACUUGGUCAGAUUCUGAAAAACAGCCAGUCACCAGGAACAACCAAGGUUGCUGUUUACACUCACAAGAAGCUUCUGAGAGGAGCAGUGCCACUUCUUGGGAUUCCUGGCUGUCCAUUUUAUGGUAUAAAUUAAUGGCUUUCUUGGUUUGGCUGAGAAUGCUGAAUUCCUCUUCACAGAGUCACUUUUCCAUAGUGAGACAGUCGUCUUCAACACAUCUUCACUCCUCCAUUGGCAAGAAAUAAAGCAAAGAACAUGAAAGCUCA